AUUGAACGCUGGCGGCAGGCCUAACACAUGCAAGUCGAACGAGUGGCGGACGGGUGAGUAGUGUCUGGGAAACUGCCUGAUGGAGGGGGAUCACUACUGGAAACGGUAGCUAAUACCGCAUACCAUCAUAUGAGCUCAGAUGGGAUUAGCUUGUUGGUGGGGUACUGGCUCACCAAGGCGACGAUCCCUAGCUGGUCUGAGAGGAUGACCAGCCACACUGGAACUGAGACACGGUCCAGACUCCUACGGGAGGCAGCAGUGGGGAAUAUUGCACAAUGGGCGCAAGCCUGAUGCAGACAUGCCGCGUGUAUGAAGAAGGCCUUCGGGUUGUAAAGUACUUUCAGCGGGGAGGCGUUACCCGCAGAAGAAGCACCGGCUAACUCCGUGCCAGCAGCCGCGGUAAUUC
rnacentral:rRNA from 1 species